AGCAGCAGCCGCGGUAAUACGUAGGGUGCGAGCGUUAAUCGGAAUUACUGGGCGUAAAGCGUGCGCAGGCGGUUAUAUAAGACAGAUGUGAAACCCCCGGGCUCAACCUGGGAUCUGCAUUUGUGACUGUAUAGCUAGAGUACGGUAGAGGGGGAUGGAAUUCCGCGUGUAGCAGUGAAAUGCGUAGAUAUGCGGAGGAACACCGAUGGCGAAGGCAAUCCCCUUGACCUGUACUGACGCUCAUGCACGAAAGCGUGGGGAGCAAACAGGAUUAGAUACCCCGGUAGUCCCUGUCUCUUAUAC
rnacentral:rRNA from 1 species